rnacentral:lncRNA from 1 species
UUCUAUGUGCUGCUGUGACAUGAAGUGAAGAUCUCUGAUAAACUAAAGGAAAUUUGUAAGUUGUAUAGCUCAUACAGACAGAAAAAAAGCUUUAUAGUGCUACAGUUUAAAUGUAUAAUAUUUCAUUGUUUUUUUACCAUUAAUUCUGCUUGUGUUUGAUUUAGUGCAAUCAUUAAUGAAAUGUUUGAUUGUCCAGUAGUUUCUGUCAUGAUCAUUUGAUAACCCCACUUAUCUCCUCAUUUCUCUUUGGCUGUGCUGCUGUGACAUGAAGCGGAUUACUCUGAACGACUAAAGCAAAUGUCGAAGUACUGUGAACAAGAAUUGUGCAAGAUCUCUGAACGAUUAAAGCAAAUGUCUUUGACAAAGAAAGGGGAGAUCUCCGAACAAAAAACACCUUUAAUAGAUGAAGUGGAGAUCUUUGAACAAGAAAUAGGUGCUGAUGGCACAAAAGAAGAGACAACGAGAUCAGAGAUGGCGAAAGGUGAAAGUGAACAGUCCAUUAUUGUUGAAGAUACUGCUAUAAGUCAAGCGAUUGGAGGGCCACGUGGGGCUGAUGGGAGAAUCAGAGACAGACAGGGCAAGAGCCUUGUAGUCCGUAACACCGGUACUGAACAUACUGGAGUUUGUACACAUGAAUCAACAGGAAAAGGAGUGAAUGAAGAAACAUCUGUUAUUAGUGAAUGAGCAACAGAAGAAGAGUUCAGUUUAAUGGUAUAAACAUGCACAUAUUACAGUCUCCACUAUUAUUUUAUUGUUGUUCCGUCUCUUUAGUUUUAUUUUCUACUGGGAAACAGCAACCAGGGCCAGUGUUGCCACCUUUUAGAAAAACUGAUUAGUGCAAGUCAAUGCGCAGGUGUACAAACUAAUACACUAAUAACAAUAUAAAACACUACAAUCUGAUAAGCUGUUGAGUUAAUGAAUGUUAAUCACAUUAGAGC